UUCCUCCUCCCCACAGCUCCAGGAACCCUGGGACACGGAACCUUCUGGAAAGGAGCCGGGGGGUCCCAGCGGGGGCUCCCCCCACCCUGAGCCCCCAAACCCCGGGGGGGACCUUGGGGAGGGUCCCCAAAAUCCCCCCGAAUCCGAGCCCCCCCCCAGCUCCUGAGGUGGCUUUGGUGUCACUGUCCCCUCCCUUGGGGACAAUUCCUCACCCCCACCUCAAAAAAAAGGGAAAUAAAGGUUUGGGAAUGCAAGAAAUCCUUGGAAUGAGCCCAAAUCCGGUUGGGAUUUAGGGCCCUGGUCCCGAGGGGGGUUUCUUAAUCGGGAAGUUAAUUGGGAUGGGACCCAAAAAUUCCAACCAGAUUUUAUUUCCUCCCCCAAAAUCCCGGAUUUUGCCAGCAGGAUCCGUCCCCACGCGGGGCUGGGGCAGGAAUUGGGGACGGAGCGGGGAAGGUUCCCCUUUCCAAAAGUUAAAAAUCCUUUAAAUACAGCCCCAAAACGGGCAAAUUUCCCUUUUUAUUCCCCGAAUGGCAGAGGAGAAUCCCAUUCCAGGGCUGUGGGGAGAAGGGACGAGAGGCGGGGCUGGAGGAUCACAGCUGCUUUAUUCCAGAAGAAUUCAUCCAGACCCGGAAAAAUCCCGUUCCCACCGGGAAAACCGGGAAGGUUUCGGCGUUUUGGGGAAUUUUUCCUUCCAGAAUUGGCUGAAUCAUGGAAUUCCCACGGGGUUGAGGAAGCCCGAGGGGGGGGUGGCAGCAGGGGUGGCAGCGAGAUGUCACCUGUCACCCACCCCCGUGGGGCGCUGCCUCAAUGGAGCUCCUUGUCCCGCUGAGAUCCCACCCCAUUCCCAAUCCCACUCGUGGGGACACAGAUCCUGCAUUGUCCCGGCCUUGGGGACACUCUGGGGACACUGGGGACACCCUGGGGACACCGGGGGGACACCCUGGGGACACCUCCCUGAGCCCUGGGACACCCCGGGGACAGCGCGGGGACACCCUGGGGACACUUCCUGAGCCCCGGUGACACCCUGGGGACACCCUGGGGACACUUCCUGAGCCCCGGUGACACCCUGGUGAC
rnacentral:lncRNA from 1 species